UACGGAGGAUGCGAGCGUUAUCCGGAUUUAUUGGGUUUAAAGGGUGCGUAGGCGGGUUAUCAAGUCAGCGGUAAAAUCGUGGAGCUCAACUCCAUCCAGCCGUUGAAACUGAUGAUCUUGAGUGGGCGAGAAGUAUGCGGAAUGCGUGGUGUAGCGGUGAAAUGCAUAGAUAUCACGCAGAACUCCGAUUGCGAAGGCAGCAUACCGGCGCCCAACUGACGCUGAAGCACGAAAGCGUGGGUAUCGAACAGG
rnacentral:rRNA from 1 species